rnacentral:lncRNA from 1 species
UGCCAGUUUUGUAGUUUUGUUUUUCCUUUUCUUGCUAUUUGGCCAGGAGCAGCAGUAGCAGCAGCUCCAAGAACACUGGCUCCUUCUUAGUCCCAUGGAAGCACAGAUCAACAUCAUUGCCCUUGCAAACUUCUCUCAGCUUAGGAGAGUCUACUCGCUCUUUGCACAUUGUUGACAUGAAAUGAAUAUUAAACACCAAACCUCAUAGAGGCCAGCCCUGCUGGGCGAG